AUGAACGCUGGCGGCAUGCCUAACACAUGCAAGUCGAACGAGAUCUUCGGAUCUAGUGGCGCACGGGUGAGUAACGCGUGGGAACCUACCUUUUAGUACGGGACAACGUUUGGAAACGACCGCUAAUACCGCAUACGCCCUACGGGGGAAAGGUCCGCCGGAGAAAGAGGGGCCCGCGUCUGAUUAGCUUGUUGGUAGGGUAAUGGCCUACCAAGGCUACGAUCAGUAGCUGGUCUGAGAGGAUGAUCAGCCACACUGGGACUGAGACACGGCCCAGACUCCUACGGGAGGCAGCAGUGGGGAAUAUUGG
rnacentral:rRNA from 1 species